AAGUCGUAACAAGGUCUCCGUAGGGUGAGUUCAAUCAAUUUCAACCAUAAUGUCAAUCAAAUACUAACGAUAAAAAAGUGAACCUGCGGAGGGAUCAUUACUGAGCGAGGGCUUCCAGCCCGACCUCCAACCCUUUUGUGAUUCGGACCGUGUUGCCUCGAGGGCGACCCGGACGCUCCGGCGCCGGGCCCCUCGGUGGACCCAUCAAAACUCUUGCAUCUUUGCGUCGGAUUGAAACAAGUUUAAAUUAUCAAAACUUUCAACAACGGAUCUCUUGGUUCUG
rnacentral:misc_RNA from 1 species